ACUUGGUACAGGCAUUUUCAAAUGUAGAAAAUGGUGGAUUAAACCUGGUUUUAUAGCGCUAAACCUCUCACUUUGUUGACAGUCUCAUCAAAUUCCGUUAUAUUUACAAUGAUGCGUCAACUAAAGAGAUAUAAAAAAUAAAAUAGUCAAAAUAUGGGCACAGCAGUCAUCAUCGUGUAACAAUUUUAAAAGGAACAAUUUAACAGAACACAAAAACAUCUAUCUACAAAC
rnacentral:lncRNA from 1 species